GUCUCUUAUAAUGAUGUUGAUGAUUCAUUUUUCAUACAUUCCAUGUUAACUGUGAAUGUAUCACGUCUGUCUAUUCAUCCUUCUCCUUCACAUUUGCCGGUUCAGGUGUCAGAUCAUGAUUCAGUCUGUUACAUGGCUAUGAUUCUGGUGGAUUUUCUGUCGUCCUCUGUUUGUUUUAUCUUGCCAUCUUUAACAGCAUUCACUGUGUCAGUCAGUGGUUCUGUGAAUGUCCUGUUAGUAUUUAGCAGGUCGUAAAAUAUCAAAACUUACUGUUCUCUGUUGGCUCUGAUUGUUCUCUGUAGUAAAAGUUAUCGGAGUCACCCUCUCCAGGACAAACUGGC